rnacentral:rRNA from 1 species
CCUACGGGUGGCAGCAGUGAGGAAUAUUGGUCAAUGGACGAGAGUCUGAACCAGCCAAGUAGCGUGAAGGAUGACUGCCCUAUGGGUUGUAAACUUCUUUUAUAUGGGAAUAAAAUGUUCCACGUGUGGGAUUUUGUAUGUACCAUAUGAAUAAGGAUCGGCUAACUCCGUGCCAGCAGCCGCGGUAAUACGGAGGAUCCGAGCGUUAUCCGGAUUUAUUGGGUUUAAAGGGAGCGUAGGUGGAUUGUUAAGUCAGUUGUGAAAGUUUGCGGCUCAACCGUAAAAUUGCAGUUGAAACUGGCAGUCUUGAGUACAGGAGAGGUGGGCGGAAUUCGUGGUGUAGCGGUGAAAUGCGUAGAUAUCACGAAGAACUCCGAUUGCGAAGGCAGUUCACUGGACUGCAACUGACACUGAGGCUCGAAAGUGUGGGUAUCAAACAGGAUUAGAUACCCCAGUAGUC